CGCAAUUCUACGGAAGGGCUUUUGGAAGAAGGGGGCGGAGUUAGCCAGGCCGUGCGCGGUGCGUCGGGAGCCUGCGGAACCCGAGGCGGCCGGCCUGUCGUUGGAACAGAUUUGGGGAAUUCUUCCUUGAGCCAUUCUUUGCCUGUUCCUCUCUGAGAACCCUAUGGCCUUCUUGAGUGCAUCCACAUCAGUGUUAACACUUUGAGCAUUGACAUUCAUCAAGCUGAAUUUUCAAUGACAAGUAUGUCUAUCUCCUACACUUAUUUCUAACCCAAAGACAAGAUCCCACUAUGUUGCCAGUACUGUCCUGGAACUACAAUCCUGCCUCAGCUUCCAAAGUAGCUGGAAUUACAAGUGUUUUUAAUGUAUACAGGUAAAUCAGAUGGGCCAUCUCCCUUAGAAGUUUGUCUCUCUUGUGAUGCUAAGGCAAUCAUUGUUGAGAAAACAUGGACAAUUUAUUAGAUUUCAGAAGUCCUUCAAUAUUUUAGCACUAUUAUUUUAAUAGAGAAAGAUAAGAUACUAUUUUAUAUGUAUGUGAAAAACAGUUAACAAUAAUAGGCUUCAACCAUUUUAUUUAUGAAAAUCAUGAUUUAUAAUCCCCUGAAAUUGUUAUAAUAAUAUCAUUCACUAUUAGAAUUUCCUACUACAGGUAUAUAAUGGGCUGGGUGACAAUAAUACAAAUUAGAUACAAGCCUGCAGAAGUUUUUCAUAGAGAUGUCUUACUGAUAUAUUAUUUUUGCAACACUGGAAAGAGCUGUGUUAGAUUUGGUGUUAGUCCUGAUAUUUCCCCUGGACACAGUCAGUUCUGGCCUGCUCUAUCUCUCAUGACUGUGAUGACGGCUGUAUCCAGAUGCUAAAUACUCAAGAGGCACUCCAAUACAGUGUUAAAGACUCCGAACAUUUCAUCCUUAAACAAUGUGCAUUCCAAGAGAAAACAGACCUCUUUCUCACAGAAAUAAAAUUGUGAAGGUGCAUGAUGAAUCAGGGACCAAAAUUAGAGGCAACAAAAUCCUAAAGGUUCUCUUCCCAUCUUCUCUCUUUCUAAUAUAGAAAUAUUUAUAAAUUAAAAAAUAAUAAUAUUACCAGCAUAAACAAUAACAAAAAUAUUUUCAACAUAAAAUGUUGCAAUAGCUAUUACACAGUUAAGAAGGCUGUUCUAAAUGGCAAUCAAAGAAUAAAUCAUGAGAGAUUUAACUUAAGAAUCAAAAUUUCUGAAAUGUCUUAUUUUGAGAGUAUGGGCUAGAGUAUUUGUCCUGAGGGCAACUGUUUCUUCCAUUUUUUUUCCUCUCUUCCCUCCCAUACUUGCAUUUUUUCACAUUUACAAAAC